UGUUAAAAAUCUCAUCUGUUUUUGCUGUUAAAAAGGGGCAUGGUUGACAACGAUAACACAUAACGUAUCACGUGUACCUCAUGCUGACGUACAGGGACAAAUUUUUAACAGUAGAAAUGGGUAUAAUGGAAUUUUUAACA
rfam:Gossypium arboreum cultivar AKA8401 contig_38648_3, whole genome shotgun sequence.